GUGGGGAGUUAAACAUUAAACAAGACAUUCCACAUACUAUUACUGAGUGGGUUGGCAGUGCUGUUUGUCUGAAUGAAGAGGCAGGGCUUGGUAUUUCUGGCCCUGUAACUGUUAAAGCAUUCCAGCCAUUCUUUGUCAGUUUCACACUUCCUUACUCUGUCAUCCGUGGAGAGAAAGUUCCUGUGAUUGUAACCGUCUUCAAUUACCUCAGUGAAUGCUUGCCUAUUGAGCUUGAACUGGAGCAUAAUGAAGCAUACGAGCUGCAGAAUGACACAAGUGUCUCGAGAAUUUGUGUUUGUGGUCAGUCAAGUGACACCAUCAGAUGGUUAGUUGAACCACAUGCUAUCGGAAAGGUCAACUUGACUGUUUAUGCACAUGCUUUGGAAGACAACGAUGUUUGUGGAAAUGAGAUCUCUGCACAGUCGAAUGCUAAGGAUGCAGUAAGGAGAGAGCUCUUAGUUGAGGCUGAAGGAAUUUUGACUGAAGAAACCGAAAAUUCGUUUGUAUGUACUCAAGGUAAUGCCAA